AUUGAACGCUGGCGGCAUGCCUUACACAUGCAAGUCGAACGGCAGCACGGGAGCAAUCCUGGUGGCGAGUGGCGAACGGGUGAGUAAUAUAUCGGAACGUGCCCAGUCGUGGGGAUAACGUAGCGAAAGCUACGCUAAUACCGCAUACGAUCUAUGGAUGAAAGCGGGGGAUCGCAAGACCUCGCGCGAUUGGAGCGGCCGAUAUCAGAUUAGGUAGUUGGUGAGGUAAAGGCUCACCAAGCCGACGAUCUGUAGCUGGUCUGAGAGGACGACCAGCCACACUGGGACUGAGACACGGCCCAGACUCCUACGGGGGGCAGCAGUGGGGAAUUUUGGACAAUGGGCGCAAGCCUGAUCCAGCAAUGCCGCGUGCAGGAUGAAGGCC
rnacentral:rRNA from 1 species